rnacentral:lncRNA from 1 species
GAGAAGGAGCCGGGCCCUACUGCAGGGGAGGAGAGAAAGCUCCCCUGCACCUCAAUGGGGCUUUGUGCUCCUUGGCACUGGAUCUGCCAAGACAGGGCACCUCUCCUGGAGCCCGCUCUUGGGGGCGUCUCCCCUGCCUGUGCAUCUGGGGGCUUCAUUCUGGCCAUAGGAGGCAGAGAAGUGGGGCCUGUGCAGUGGGUGUCAGGGAUGGACAGGGACUCUUACCUGGGCCCAUCUAGCUCCCUUGCCUGGCUCUCUCUGCUCAUUUGCAGAGCCAUCCCCCAUGCUGGGAUGUUUGGGGUGCAGCAGGAAUUGCCAGUUUCUGCAGCUCUCCUCUCCCCUGGCUCAGAAAACUUGACGUCAUGCUUGCCUGGAAACCUACCUUCCAGUCCUGCCCAUCCUGAGACCUGUGAGAUGGAAGAGGUUCUAGGCCCACCUCAGGGUCUCAGCAGGCAAUCUUACCAACUUCUACAGUUUCAACAAUGGUGACUUCCUUGAGCAUCCUCAGAUAAUUCAGAUCCCACCUAAAUUACAGAGCCCUAUGUCCAGCUGCCUACCUGGAUGUCUCAAAAUCACCUCCAACUCAACGGAUUCAAAAACAAACUCACUUUCUUCCCAACCCUUCUCAACAAAUAGUCCACUAUCUGUCUACUUUCCAAAUAAAAUGUAAGCAGCCUCCGUGGCUCAUCCCUCUCCUUCAUUAUAUUAAACCCAAUAAUAACAAUUUUACCUAACUGCUCUUUUAAUUCUUCUAUCUAUUUCUCUCAUCAUCUCAUCUUUUUUCCUUUUUUUUUUUUUUUUUUUUUUGAGACAGGAUCUCGUUCUGUUGCCCAGGCUGGAGUGCAGUGGCACAAUCACAGCCUCGACCUCGUGGGCUCAGGCAAUCUUCCCACCUCAGCCUCCUGAGUAGCUGGGACUACAGGCACCUGCCACCACACCCAGCUAAUUUUUAUUUAUUUAAUUAGUUUUGUAGAGAUGGAGUUUCACUAUGUUGCCCAGGCUGGCAUCUCACCUUAAUCCAAGCUAUCACUUAUUACACAGAGUAUUGAUAUCACCUCCCAACCCACCUUCCCCACAUGCUCUUUUACCACCAAUAAUAAAAUAGCCACAGUGCAGCCAGAACAAGUCUUUUGAAAUAUAAAUAUGAUCAUGUCACAUGAAGUGGGGAUCAUACACUCCACUUCAGCCCAAACUCUGUAAUAGGACCUGUCGGAUCCUACAUGGCCUAUACCUCA